rnacentral:rRNA from 1 species
AUUGAACGCUAGCGGCAUGCCUAACACAUGCAAGUCGAACGAGCGGCGGACGGGUGAGUAAUAUCUGGGAAACUGCCUAAUGGAGGGGGAUAACUACUGGAAACGGUAGCUAAUACCGCAUACCAUCAGAUGUGCCCAUAUGGGAUUAGCUAGUAGGUGGGGUAAUAGCUCACCUAGGCGACGAUCCCUAGCUGGUCUGAGAGGAUGACCAGCCACACUGGAACUGAGACACGGUCCAGACUCCUACGGGAGGCAGCAGUGGGGAAUAUUGGACAAUGGGCGAAAGCCUGAUGCAGCCAUGCCGCGUGUGUGAAGAAGGCCUUCGGGUUGUAAAGCACUUUCAGCGAGGAGGCGGUACCCGCAGAAGAAGCACCGGCUAACUACGUGCCAGCAGCCGCGGUAAUAC